rnacentral:rRNA from 1 species
GGGCCCGCACAAGCGGUGGAGCAUGUGGUUUAAUUCGAUGCAACGCGAAGAACCUUACCAGCCCUUGACAUCCUCGGAACGACCUAGAGAUAGGUUGGUGCCUUCGGGAGCCGAGAGACAGGUGUUGCAUGGCUGUCGUCAGCUCGUGUCGUGAGAUGUUGGGUUAAGUCCCGUAACGAGCGCAACCCUCGUCCCUAUUUGCCAGCACUUCGGGUGGGAACUCUAGGGAGACUGCCGGUGACAAACCGGAGGAAGGUGGGGAUGACGUCAAAUCAUCAUGCCCCUUAUGUCUUGGGCUUCACGCAUGCUACAAUGGCCGGUACAGAGGGCUGCAAUACCGCAAGGUGGAGCGAAUCCCAAAAAGCCGGUCUCAGUUCGGAUUGAGGUCUGCAACUCGACCUCAUG